rnacentral:tRNA from 1 species
UCUCUGGUGGUCCAGUGGUUAAGACUCUCUGCUUCCACUGCAGGGGGCCUGGGUUUAAUUCCUGGUCAGGGAA